GCGAUUAUCCACAAACCGUGUUUGCGUUCCCUGGAAUAAUGUUUACAAUGCACUAAUUUUACUGUAUAAUUAUAAGUGAAGAAAUUACUGUAAAAAUAUGGGACGAAGUCGAUCCCCUUCGCCUCGACGAAGAGAUAGAUCCAGAGAUCGUUCACGAGAUCGAGAGCGUGACAGGGACCGACGGAGAAGACGCUCAAGGGAGAGGCGAAGAAGAUCGGUCGAUAGAGAUCGAGGGAAAUCCAGGGAUCAUGAUAGAAAUAGGGAGAGAGAGAGGCACAGGCGAUCAUAUUCACGAUCCAGGUCGAGGUCUAGAGACAGGGAUCGUCCAACACCAAAGCGUAAGCCAGCCACUGCAGAGAGGCCUGAAUUGACAGAGGCUGAUCUACAGGGAAAAACACCAGAAGAGCAGGAGAUGAUGAAAUUGAUGGGUUUUUGUGGAUUCGAUACAACAAAAGGGAAGAAAGUUGAUGGCAAUGAUGUUGGAGGGGUUCACGUAAUCUUAAAACGAAAAUAUAGACAAUACAUGAAUCGCAAGGGUGGAUUCAACCGGCCACUCGACUUCGUUGCUUAAAUUUUAUUUGAAAUUCGUAGAAAAAUACAUUCAGCAUUGUUUUAUAAUAAUCUCCGAUAUUUAAGGGCUGACUUCGCGUUUUGGUUUCUUCGGGGUUGGCUCGUGACUCUCUUCCAAAACACUGGAAUCAUCGUCUGAUAGAUCAAGGUGAUCCUGAGUUUCGUUAUUUCUCAUCGUGUUCUGAGUCAUUGUCAUCAUCUGGGUAAAAAUAACAUUUUGUGGUAAAAAAAUCAUUAAAAGAUCCAGCCUCUCCAGACCUUCCACCAACUGCGGAUGUUUAAUCCUGAAAUCUCUUGUGAUACUGUGUUUAAGAUAACUCUCCAGUGGCACCUGAAGUUAGAAAAUUUGUUAAUGCUUGGAGAUAAUAGAAAAAAAUAAAUGGUUUCUAUUCAUUAAA